UACGUAGGGGGCUAGCGUUGUCCGGAAUCAUUGGGCGUAAAGCGCGUGUAGGCGGCCCGGUAAGUCCGCUGUGAAAGCCGGGGGCUCAACCCUCGAAAGCCGGUGGAUACUGUCGGGCUAGAGUCCGGAAGAGGAGAGUGGAAUUCCUGGUGUAGCGGUGAAAUGCGCAGAUAUCAGGAAGAACACCAGUGGCGAAGGCGGCUCUCUGGGACGGUACUGACGCUGAGACGCGAAAGCGUGGGGAGCGAACAGG
rnacentral:rRNA from 1 species